GGAGACGUGGCAGAGCCAGGUUUAUCGCGCGCGGUUGCUACCCGCGCGGGCCGAAAGGUUCCAUAGGUUCAAAUCCUAUCGUCUCCG
rnacentral:tRNA from 1 species